rnacentral:rRNA from 1 species
UAGGAAAUCUUCCACAAUGGGCGCAAGCCUGAUGGAGCAACACCGCGUGAGUGAAGAAGGGUUUCGGCUCGUAAAGCUCUGUUGUUAAAGAAGAACACGUAUGAGAGUAACUGUUCAUACGUUGACGGUAUUUAACCAGAAAGUCACGGCUAACUACGUGCCCG